UUUUCGGAGAGUUUGAUCCUGGCUCAGGACGAACGCUGGCGGCGUGCCUAAUACAUGCAAGUCGAGCGGACAGAAGGGAGCUUGCUCCCGGAUGUUAGCGGCGGACGGGUGAGUAACACGUGGGUAACCUGCCUGUAAGACUGGGAUAACUCCGGGAAACCGGAGCUAAUACCGGAUAGUUCCUUGAACCGCAUGG
rnacentral:rRNA from 4 species